UACGUAGGGUGCGAGCGUUGUCCGGAAUUAUUGGGCGUAAAGAGCUCGUAGGCGGCUUGUCGCGUCGGAUGUGAAAGCCCGGGGCUUAACUCCGGGUCUGCAUUCGAUACGGGCAGGCUAGAGUUCGGUAGGGGAGAUCGGAAUUCCUGGUGUAGCGGUGAAAUUCGUAGAUAUUGGGAAGAACACCGGUGGCGAAGGCGGCUACACGUCGGC
rnacentral:rRNA from 1 species